AGAAUCAGCCCUGAGCACUGUGACAAACCUCAGCUCUCCUGUUCAACACGUUGACAUUUACAUAUGACUGCAGAAGGUGCAUCUGCCUCCACUCUCCUUCCAACAUAUCCCCAAAAUGGCUGUGUCAGUCUUCCAAGGAAGAGUUCAUACAUUCAGAAAGCAGCAAGGAGCUGGCUGUGACCCUGGAGCCUUGGUGACCCUUUGUCCUGCUGGAAAAGCUACACGAAGCAUUUGAAAGAACUUCACUCUUCUGUGUCUUACACUGGAAUAUAAUUUGUCAGUAGAACGUGACACAAAGGCUACCUUUUUUUUUUUUGGUUUUUUGGUGUGUGUGCAUGUUAUUUGGAGAGAAAUACAAAGACUU
rnacentral:lncRNA from 1 species